UGUGCCAUCGACCUCAAAUUACGAGAUUUCUGAUAAAAUGACACCACAUCAUUCAGAAAUAGGUAUUAAAAUUUUAUUAGUAUUCAUAAUUUGCUACCUUUUUUUAGGGUUCCGUAGCCAAAUGGCAAAAAACGGAACCCUUAUAGGUUCGUCAUGUCUGUCCGUCUGUCUGUCCGUCUGUCUGUCCGUCUGUCUGUCCGUCUGUCUGUCCGUCUGUCUGUCCGUGUAUGUUACAGCCACUUUUUUCCGAAACUGUAAGAACUCUUGAAACUUGGUAAGUAGAUGUAUUCUGUGAACCGCAUUAAGAUUUUCACACAAAAAAACAAUAAAUUUUGGGGGUUCCCCAUACCUACUUAGAACUGAAACACAAAAUUUUUUCUUUCAUCAUACCCAUACGGGUGGGGUGUCUAUGGAUAGGUCUUCAAAAAUGAUAUUGAGGUUUCUAAUAUCAUUUUUUUAUAAACUGAAUAGUUUGCGCGAGAGACACUUACAAAGUGGUAAAAUGUGUGUCGUCCCCCCCUGUAACUUUUAAAAUAAGUGAAUGAUAAAUCUAAAAAAAAAUGAUGUACAUUACCAUGCAAACUUCCACCGAAAAUUGGUUUGAGCGAGGCCUGGUAAGUAUUUUUUUUUAAUACGUCAUAAAUCGUAAACCGCAAUUUUAUUAUGUUACUCGCUGGUACGGAACCCUUCAUGGGCGAGUCUGACUCGCACUUUGCCGCUUUUUAUUCUUAAACUGAAUAAAGGCAAGUACAUAAUUUAAUAAUGUUAUGUUACAGUAGUUUCUGCUGGAGGAGUCUCAGGACAAAAACGCAAACUAGAAGGUGAAGAUGAUGAUUCCCCAAGUUCAAAGCGAAAUAAGGGUUAUGAUCCAAAGAACGUGCCAUCGACUUCAACAUACGAGAUUUCUGAUAAAAGUACACCAGGCAUAUAAUUACUUGCGGCAAUGACGGAGAUGUUCGAAUAUGGGUUGACAUAAAAGACGACGAUCGUAACUCCCAUUGCGUUGGAGAGAGCGCGACAGCGGUGUGUUUUAAAGACAAGAGGCUGUAUGUGGCUACUGAUAAUCAUGCUGUACAAGCUUACACAUUCCCGGCUUUCGACAAAGACGGUAUUGUCACUAGAUUUACUGCAUCGGUAACACAAAUUAUGACAAGCACUAAAAGUGAGGUGAGUUGCACUACAAAUUUCCUGUGAUUAUUUGAAUUGUAAAGAUCUUUAUAUGUAAACCAGGGAUGUUGCGGAUGCAGAUUUAUUGACAUCCGCAGAUGCGGAUAUUUAAAGCCUCACAUCUGCGGAUGCGGAUGUCAAGAUUUGGUACUUAAAAAACGUCAAAUAUUAUAUUUUUAGCAUUCUUUAUUAAAAAAAAACCAAACAUUUAGUAUUUGAGCAAGAAUAUAGGUGCGUUUUUUUAAUAAACAGUAACUUGGCCGACUUUUCGGGAUCUAGACGAUUUCGUUAUAUAUAAUGACGAAAUUACCUAGCACCUACGCCGCCGCCGCCGCCACUAACAAG